rnacentral:rRNA from 1 species
AACGAACGCUGGCGGUAUGCUUAACACAUGCAAGUCGAACGAACAAAAUUGGGGCUUGCUCCAAUUUUAGUGAGUGGCAAACGGGUGAGUAACACGUGGGAAUCUACCUAUCAGUACGGAAUAACAUUUGGAAACAGAUGCUAAUACCGUAUAUUCUCCAAGGAGGAAAGAUUUAUCGCUGAUAGAUGAGCCCGCGUAAGAUUAGGUAGUUGGUAGGGUAAUGGCCUACCAAGCCGACGAUCUUUAGCUGGUCUGAGAGGAUGAUCAGCCACACUGGGACUGAGACACGGCCCAGACUCCUACGGGAGGCAGCAGUGGGGAAUAUUGGACAAUGGGCGAAAGCCUGAUCCAGCAAUACCGCGUGAAUGAUGAAGGCCUUAGGGUUGUAAAGUUCUUUUAGUUGGAAAGACAAUGACGGUACCAACAGAAAAAGCCCCGGCUAACUCCGUGCCAGCAGCCGCAGUAA